GGAUGACCUGUGGCUGGGGGUGAAAGGCCAAUCAAACCGGGAGAUAGCUGGUUCUCCCCGAAAGCUAUUUAGGUAGCGCCUCGGAUGAAUACCUACGGGGGUAGAGCACUGUUUGGGCUAGGGGGUCAUCCCGACUUACCAACCCCAUGCAAACUCCGAAUACCGUAGAGUACUAUCCGGGAGACACACGGCGGGUGCUAACGUCCGUCGUGGAGAGGGAUACAACCCAGACCGCCAGCUAAGGUCCCAAAAUUAUUGCUAAGUGGGAAACGAUGUGGGAAGGCUAAGACAGCUAGGAGGUUGGCUUAGAAGCAGCCACCCUUUAAAGAAAGCGUAAUAGCUCACUAGUCGAGUCGGCCUGCGCGGAAGAUGUAACGGGGCUAAGCAAUAUACCGAAGCUGCGGCAGCACGUAAGUGCUGGGUAGGGGAGCGUUGUGUAAGUGGUUGAAGGUGGUUCGAGAGGGCUGCUGGACAUAUCACAAGUGCGAAUGCUGACAUGAGUAACGAUAAUGGGGGUGAAAAACCCCCACGCCGGAAGACCAAGGUUUCCUGUCCCAUGCUAAUCAGGGCAGGGUAAGUCGGCCCCUAAGGCGAGGCAGAAAUGCGUAGUCGAUGGGAAACGGGUUAAUAUUCCCGUACUUUUAUGUACAGUGAUGGGGUGACGGAGAAGGCUAUGCUAUCGUGGCGUUGGUUGUCCACGUGAAAGUAGGUAGGCUGAGUGUUUAGGUAAAUCCGGACACUCUUAAGGCCGAGAUACGAGACGAGUUUCUACGGAAACGAAGUAGCAGAUGCCCGGCUUCCAGGAAAAUCCUCUAAGCGUAUGUGCAUAAGAACCGUACCCCAAACCGACACAGGUGGUCAGGUAGAGAAUACUAAGGCGCUUGAGAGAACUCGGGUGAAGGAACUCGGCAAAAUAGUACCGUAACUUCGGGAGAAGGUACGCCCCUGGUUGUGAAUCCCUUGCGGAGUAAGCAACUGGGGGCCGCAGUGACCAGAUGGCUGGGACUGUUUAUUAAAAACACAGCACUGUGCUAAAUCGAAAGAUGACGUAUACGGUGUGACACCUGCCCGGUGCCGGAAGGUUAAUUGAUGGG
rnacentral:rRNA from 1 species